AGUCCUCCUGAGUCCCCGGGUCGGCGUAGCGGAGUGGCGGGUAGAUAGUGGCCGUGUCGAGAGACCAAUGGCUGCCUGCGGGGUUCAGCGGCUCCAUCCUCGCUGCUGUAUCGUGGGGCUCCGGCUGUCAGAUGGUCACCAGGGACUGGAGGAAAACGGAGCCUGGCUAUGAGCGCCCGUCCGCGACUGGCAACUGGUCAGGUUAUCUCGGCCCGAGCAAUAAAGAUUUUAUCCCCCGAACCUCAUCGUCUCUCAUAUGGGAAGCUGCCACCUGACAGCUCUAUCCUCCGACAUAUUGCUUUGCCCAGAUUCUUUUCUUCCAAUUCACUUCUCGUCCUUUCUUUUUACAAUCUACUACUGGAGCGCCAAA